UGGGGAAUAUUGGACAAUGGGACAACCCUGAUCCAGCGAUGCCGCGUGAGUGAUGAAGGCCCUAGGGUUGUAAAACCCUUUCGUCAGGGAAGAUAAUGACGGUACCUGAAGAAGAAGAUCCGGCUAACUCCGUGCCAGCAGCCGCGGUAAUACGGAGGGGUCUAGCGUUAUUCGGAAUUACUGGGCGUAAAGCGAGCGUAGGCGGAUUUGUAAGUUGGAGGUGAAAUCCCAGAGCUUAACUCUGGAACUGCCUUCAAAACUACAUUUCUUGAGUUUGGUAGAGGAGAGUGGAAUUCCUAGUGUAGAGGUGAAAUUCGUAGAUAUUAGGAGGAACACCAGUGGCGAAGGCGACUCUCUGGGCCAAUACUGACGCUGAGGUUCGAAAGCAUGGGUAGCGAACAGG
rnacentral:rRNA from 1 species